GCUCUGACUGAAGCAGAAAAGCCAGAGCCCAAAGAAUUGCAUUACUCAGUCUCUGCCCUAGGUCUCAGGUGUCACAUCCUGUGGCCUCACCAAGGUGGCUGGUCACUUGAAAUAUAAAGCUUGUCAUAGGCUGCAGAGAACAAGACAGACACGGGAAUUGCGUUCCAAACUGCAAGACUCAGAGAACUCAGCAAGAGCUAGAAGCUGAUUGCUGCGCUCACCUGUGACCUCCCAGCUGGAGACAAUAGACUUGCCUCCUGCUACGCCCACCAAGGUCUGAGCUUGUUCAUCUGGAAGAAAAGAAGGCUGGACUAGAGCAGUGGUUCUCAAACUGGUCCCCAGACCAGCAACAUCAGCAUCACUGGGAACUUGUCAGAAAUGUAGAUUAUCAGGCCCCCCUUAGACCUAGUAAAUCAGAAACUCAGUGGUGAGCCCAGCAAUCUGUCUCUUAACAAGCCCUCCACGAGAUUCUGAUUUAUGCUCAAGUUUGAGAACUGCUGGACUAGAUGGUCUGGAGAAUCUCUCGGAAAAAAGAGCGCUCAUACUUCUUAGCUGGCUCAUAAGGUCCUCACUAAUCUGGUGCCCCUCUAACUGCCCAGUCUCUUAAGUCAACAGGCCUCUGCAUCUGCAUAAAACUACAAAAAUGUCCUUACAGAGACUUGCUCUUUGAAACUCUGUGUCUUUACAUGUGCUGUUCCUUCUUCCUGAAAUAACCUUUUUCUUCCACUACCUGUCUGUCUCCUAUCUGUCCUUCAACACUUGUUUGAGUGGUCACCUCUUCUAGGAAGACCUUCUAAUACCUCCCUUCUCAGGUCAGGUGUCUCCCCUCUGUGCUCUUCUAGCACUUUAUAAACGUCUCUGUUAUAUCGUUUGCCACCUUUAUCUGGUGCCCCACCGGACAGAGCUAGGUGUGGCCAGAAACUAUUUUAUUUCUGAACACUCAGGGCCUGCCACAAUGCCAGCCACAUAGUAUGUCCUCAGUAAACGUCAUGGCAUGAGUGAUUGAGUGGAUGACUUGCAUCCUCGUGUCAACUACCUGAAGGCUCAGAUGAUGACUUUUGAUUCUUGUUCAUCAUCUCGUAAUCAUUGAUAGUUAAUGUUUUUCAUAUUAUAAAUCCCAAUGAUUGUCUGAUCAUCAAUGCUAACUACUGUUAGUAAUGCUUUAUAGCAUAUUGCAUAAUCCAAGUUCUGUCAGAUCUGUUAGUCCACUUGAGCCUGUCAGCAAUCUAGUGAACUAGGUUAGAGCAGGUAUUAUUUUCAUGAUUUUAACAGCUGAGAAAACCACUCACAGAUACUAAAUGGCUUUCCUUGAUUAUCUAUUUCUGCUAACAUUAUUUUGUAUGUCCUCUGUGCAAGGCAUUGUGAUAGAAAAUGAGAAAUACAAAAGCUAGUAAGGACAUAAUCCUUGUCCUCCAGAAACCUAUAUUCUAGGAAAAAUUAAAACUUAUCCUCCAAGGGGCCAGCCCUGUGGCAGAGUGGUUGGGUUCCUGUGCUCUGCUUCAGCGGCCCAGGGUUUGCCAGUUCAGAUCUUGGUCGUGGACCUACACACCACUCAUCAGACCAUGCUGUGCCAGCAUCCCAGAUGGAAGAGCUAGAAUGGCCUGCAACUGGGAUAU
ensembl:lncRNA